rnacentral:misc_RNA from 1 species
GAUGAAGAACGUAGCGAAAUGCGAUACUUGGUGUGAAUUGCAGAAUCCCGUGAACCAUCGAGUUUUUGAACGCAAGUUGCGCCCGAAGCCUUUUGGCCGAGGGCACGUCUGCCUGGGCGUCACGCAUCGCGUCGCCCCCCCACAAUUCUCCGUAAAGGGAACAUGUGUUUUGGGGGCGGAUAUUGGUCUCCCGUGCUCAUGGCGUGGUUGGCCGAAAUAGGAGUCCUUUCGAUGGACGCACGAACUAGUGGUGGUCGUAAAAACCCUCGUCUUUUGUUUCGUGCUGUUGCUUGCAAGGUAAACUCUUUAAAAACCCCAAUGCGUCGUCUCUUGACGACGCUUCGACCGCGACCCCAGGUCAGGCGGGACUACCCGCUGAGUUUAAGCAUAUCAAUAAGCGGAGGA